rnacentral:lncRNA from 1 species
GGAGCAUUCUCGAAGAUGCCCGGCCAAAGAGGGUGCCUGGCUGGGGUGGGGAAACUCAGCAGCAAGAAGCAUGCGCUGGGGUGCUUCCUGGGGGCGAAACAACACCAUUUCCUGCCCUAAGUGAAUGCUUACACCAAGAUGACA